rnacentral:lncRNA from 1 species
CAGGAGGGAAUGGGUUUGGAUAAUCUCCCAGGUCAGUAAGGGAAAAUAUAUCAGAAAUUUUCUAUUUUCUAUAUUCUAUUUCUUUAUUUCUUCUUUUCUUUUCUAUAUGGGAAAUCUGCUCAUUGGGUUUUAGAUAUCAAAUAUUCUCUGGUUUGUCACUCAAUUGACCUUGAAGGUUCCUUUUUGGCCGAUGGACGGAGGUGGGUGGCUGUGGAAGGUGACACAAAUCUCGCUGGUGCCCACUGAAUUAACAACUAAUUUUUAAUCACUGCACAGGCUCCAUUUUCUCUUGACAAUUACAUUUUUAUUACAAACCUCUGAGCCCUUCUCUGGCCCGUGCUGCCUCUAACAUGAGGCUGGAGCACACACAAGGAAAAUGGGACAAAUAUCAUGUGUGUAGGAGAAGGCUUUCCACGGAGAGUUAAAUGAGCUGUAUUGAACUGCGAGGUCCCCUCCAGCAGAGGUAUCUCAGCUGUGCUGGCUUGCUCGUUUGGGAUGUAAUUAGUGAGUCACAGGUGAAGGUGUUGCAGGAGAGAGAGCAAAACCCUAUAAAAACAGGACUCACAGGCUGCCUGGGUUUGGGAGGAGGUGAGAAGAUGUGCCCUAGGAAGCUGCAUAGCCUGAUUUGAGGUCUUGUGAAGGACAGCAAGGAGCAGCUCACCUCCAGCCAGGAGCAGGCGAGGAGCUGACAAACGCCUGUGGCCGUGCUGGGAAAAGGCUCCCCGAGGAAAUACCGAUAAGCAGCAGGGAUGCUGCACUUCUGGGCAUCCCCGUGAUGGCCCAAAGCAGCUGUUUUGGGCAGGAAGGAUCCUGAUUCCACCCCGCAGCCCCAGGCCACCCGAGCUUAUAGGUGCUGCCUGACCGCGUGCACGGGGCCAGCCCCCGCCGAUAGCAUCGGGGUAACUGCAUCCAGAGUCUUUUGAAAUGCCAUCUUUCUGCUGCACAGCCUUGGAUGAAUUUGUGCAGCUUGGCAGAGACACCAUGGUUCAACAAGAGGCUGCAGCCCAGCAAGAUGCCUUGUUUCACAUGGCCAACAUGUGGUUGAUGUUUUGGCUUCCUUCCUGCAGAAUGUGCCUACGGGCACCCAGCAAGAGCUGCAGAGCAAAAUGCUUUUUUGGGAAAGCCAGGCUAUCACCCCCCCCCAAACAGCCAACUCCAAACCCGAAAGAGAAAGGGCCCUUUGAAGUGAGCUGCCCGAACGCGACGUGUGACAUCAGAGAGAUGGCAGAUAGCUGGCAGAACAAGGCUGCCUUUCAGCCCGCCCCGGCCCCGGCCGCUGCGUGCUUUACACCCCACCUCCCCACGCUGGAGAUGAAAGAUGCCCCAGGCAGCCUGCCUGACCCCGUUGCUUCUGCUAUCUCCACUUGAUUGCACAGUGGUUUUGCUCCAAACAAUCCUUCACUGUCUGGGCCGCACAGGUGAAUCUCCCGGCUUGGCUGGCGAGCGGGGAUGCCGCGCAUAGCAGGGCUGCUUUGUCGCGGUCGCUCGCCUGCUUCUACGGGGUGGUUUCUUAGGGCAGGCAUUGUUCGACGGCAGGGCACGGAGGAGGGGUGGGGGGAAAGGGAUGGAGCAGGA